AGCUGGUUGACAUCGGGUCAGAUCUGUUUUUCCAAGCAUUUGGUCCCCUUCAACCAGCUGU
rnacentral:pre_miRNA from 1 species